UGUGUUCCUCUAGAAUAGUCUCACAUUUUAGGUGUGAUUUCUUUCAAUAUUGUUCUCAUUUUAGUUCAGAGGGUCGAUCACCUUUCUUAUAGUUGCAUUACAGCAGAAAUUCAGAAAAAUAACCCAGUAGGUACCUACCUACAUAUCUAUGUACCUACCUCGUUUUUUUCUUAUUGCUGCAGUUUGCUAUCGAGUCAAAUUUAAUAUCGGUUUAGUGAUUGGUAGGGCUAGGAUUUUUAUGAUAAUGUUUUUUUUUUUUUUUUGUAGCAACACCCUAUACAGCAUAAAUAUAUUUUCUUUGCAUUUCAUUCCAUUCUGAAACGAAUGGUGAAAGUUGAUAGUGCUUUUUUUUUGUGUAAAUGCUUUAAAAUGCUUAUUUUGGGCCAAAAAGGUGAAAAUUUUGCUUUUUUGGGGCUUUUUUUCAUCGUUAGCGCUUUUUUUGGUAAAAAAUUGGUAAAAUUGAAGAAAUUAGUUCCAAAAAUACAAAAAUUUACGAACUUUUUGCACAUUUUUGGAAAAAAAUAAUUGUUAAAAAAAGAUCAGUUUAAAAAAACAAGGGCGGAAAAACGGAAAAAUAACAGAUUCAGUUUUCAUUUUUCAAUUUUUAUUAUUUUUUUUUUAUGUAUGAAAUUUUUAGUUUUAGUUUUUUUCCUUUUUUUUCAUUUUCUUCUUUUCGUUAAUUUUGGUUCAAGUUGUACAUACUCGUAUAUUUAAGGGAGGUAUCAUUGCUAGCUUUGAAAAAAAACUUUAUUUUGAUACGUAACAUGGUAGGAUUUGAUAGCGCUUUUUUUUUUGCUUUUUUAUUACAUUUUUAUUGCUUUUUUAUAGCGCUUAAAACGUGUUUGAUAGCGCUUAAAAAUCCUAGCCCUAGUGAUUGAUUACUGUUCUUCCUAUGCUAUUCAAAGUCUCAUCACAUUUUACUAGAUAUUGACACUACUCCUUAGUAUCUCUACACAUUCUCUCAUGAGAUAUUUCAAUUCCGGUCCACUUCUAUCUUGAAUUACCCCAUUUUCAUUUCAUUAAAUAGUGUAAGGGAUAUCAAGGCUGCAAAGUAGGUACGCAAAUUAUUUGACUCAUCCUAUAAAAUGAAUUUCAUGCAAUGUUUUUAUACAGCAGGCAUAAUUACAGUGUUACAGUAUAGCUAUUUUCCAACUCGAAAAGCGGUUGUAUAAUGUUUAACAGAUGUGUUAGAGUGACUUGGCAUCGUUUUCAUUAUCUGACAGAAUAAUGCUCGGUUCUGCUGAUGAGUGUGAAUUUCUCUGAGAAAGUGUUUCUAAUGCUGCAGAAUGCAUGCUAACUUCUCCCAGAUGGUAAUUUACUAACAAAUUAAAACUUUUCAUUUAGAAAUGCUUCGAAAGGUUCGAUUAGGCAACUUCUCUAACAUACGUGAGUAAGGAAAAUCUGACCCAAUCAUAUGUUCCAACAAACUGAUACAUUUUCUAAUAAAAGAUAGAAUUUUCUUUAAAAAUUGAAAUGCCUAUGAAAUGGCCAAAGUAUGCAAUUCUUUCAACACACAUUUUCAGCUAAUCCAUAAGCCUAUGACGUCACAUGAACACUUAAAAAUCCGUUCAAGCAAACGCGAUAUCAAAGUUUGCUUGCUAGGACAAAAUUACCCGAAAAAAGAUAAACAGGUACCUACACAAUAAGUCUUAUCUCAAAACAAGAAAAUAGAGGAAUGAGUGUGGGCAAAAAUAAAAUUACCCACCUCAUUUCCAAAGCGAAGUUCAAUAAAGUUGGUUGGAGAACAUAAAAUAGGCUUCCUUUGUUACGCAGACAUCGACGAUCCAACUACAAAUACAUCAAAAAUGAAUUAUAGAACGUUAUUCGAUAUACCUAACAAUUUUUCUUACUAUCGACGAUAUUGCCUAUGCUACCAUCGUUGUGCCGCUACCCGUUGCAGUGGUAAUCAUGGCGAUAAUAUUCGUAAUAAUCUAUUUACGGUUCUACUAAGAACAAUUAAAUCAAUCAUGGGUACGAGUACCCUCCAACCUCUAAAAAGCAAAUGAAGCAGAAUAUUCCUAUCCCUAGCGCGGACAUUAAUUUCAUUUGACAGUUGAAAAAUUAUAUUUGUAAUAACAAUUAGUAACCAUUUAUGGCUUAAUUACAAUAGAAAAUCAAUUCAUCUUAUAUGUACUCGUAGUUAUCAUUUGGUCGAAAAUUCCUUUUAUUUCCAAGUUGAAGGAGCUAGAGAGAUGAAUGAAGCGACGUUGACUAGGGAAAAAUGAGGGCUUUCAAAAGUGACCUUGAAAAUUUCAGGCCCAUGCACAGGGUAUCCACAAAUUAAAAAACAUAAUGCCAUCCC